rnacentral:lncRNA from 1 species
UCGACAAAGUUUACAAAGCGGGCAUAGUUAAAAAUUUACAAAGGUUUAUAAUUUACAGAGUCUCGCAGCAAAACAUGAUCAGACUAUAUGUAUGAAGACAUAUAGCCGAGAGUGUAUUUCCUGACUAAGAUCAAAAUAUAAACAUCCAACCUCAAAAGGCUACCAUAUGAAGUAGAAAUACGGUAAAAGAAACAACGCCGUCCAAAAUAAGUCCCCACCAGCACCAGACCGAUCUUCCUCCUCCUCGCUUAUCUUGUACAUUUAGAAAUACAUGCAGGGCUGAGUACAAAGUACUCAGUGGACAUAUGCCGAAAAACAAUAGAAAGCUUGCUCUUAGAGCUAUAAAUCGAACUUGCCACAGUAUAAGCAUCACACAGGGAUUUUAGUAUAAACGAACCUGUGCAAGCAAUUUCGCAAACCAUAAACAUCACAAUAAAGUAAUUGCGCAGUUUAAAUAUUCAUUAUGCAUGUACCAUAUACUAUUCAUCAUCAAAGGUACUGAGAAGUAGGCCUCCCUCUCAAGUACCGUGACCGGCCGACCCGAUCGACGGCUCACAGUCACCUCUGUGCACAAAAUCCCACUUGUGGCAGGACCGAAUUCGUCUCAACAGUAGAGGGUACAUACAAGUUUAUCAUUAAAACUUGGCAAGUCAAUUAGUUUCAAGCAUAACAUUAACUCAAAUCAUAAUCAUAAAUACCAUAUCAUUUAAGAAAGCUCGUAUAAUAUGUAUACUCAAAAUAAUGCCCACCUGACAAACUUAGCUUACUCUCGUAGUACUUGGGCGAUCUUACCUCCGUCCUCUACUCGUAUCUUCAGAUGUCACAACGUCGGAGUGGUUCAUGAGAUAAGAUAAACCUCAGUUAGAAACUCAUUUACUAAAAUCCAAUCUCGUCUCAAACUAUAACUUAUCACUCAUCUUCUAUUUACCCAAAUAAAUCUCAAUCCCUAGGUAUACUUAACUCCAAAGGAUUCACAAGUCCUACUCUCAACUUAACACUCAACUCGGAUUAAACUCAUAGCAAUCAAGCACAUAAACAAGCAUAAUCACAUAAACAUAUAAAUUCACACAUAGACAUGUCACAAACAAACAUCAUUCUGCACUUACUCGAUUUAAAGACUUCACCAGACUCGGUACAGAACUCCACUGGAGUCGUAACCUAUACCAAUUGAAACCUCUUUGAGUCUAGUUUCAUUCAAAAAAAAGUAGGAUGAAAAACUCCAAGUAGUUUAGGAGAUAUGACUAUUUUCCUACAGUCUACCAUAUUCGACAGUUUUGAGCAAUUGAAAACUUUGAUUUUUAACAAAUAGUAAACGUUGCCGAAAAGGCUUGAAAUUUGGUGGGUACAUAGAUAAGACACUCAUGUAUUAAAAAUAAAAAUUUGGGCUCCAAAAAGUUAGGGAAGGACACUGGAAAAGGUGACUCUAUUGGCUACUCACCGAACAUUUCGGCAGAAGGUAGCAGUUUUAGUUUUCUAUUUUAUAAAAAUAGUAAACAAAGUCCAAUUGACUUGAAAUUUUACCGGUAUGCUCCGACUCUUAUUUAAUCUUACCAUAAAAUUUCAAGCUUUUGGUAACAAGAACCCAACGAAACAGUAGGUAUAAAAGGUCUAAAAUGACUCCAAACUUGAACAUACAAGCAAUUAUACCUAGACUUUGGAUUUCUUCGAUGCAAAAUUCUCAAAAAUUCAAAUUAAGCUCACAUAAUACACAAUAACAUAAAUACAUAAUCAUAUAACUCAAGAAAAUUCAAACAUCGACUUCCCCUUUUUCUCCCUACAUUCGGCCAACACAUAGGUCAUUAGGGGUUGGUCCGUUUCGUCUCAUAUUGCAUAUAUAAGCUCAAAUAAUCAUCAAAAAGCCACAUAUAGACAUGCUUGGCUCAUAACUCAUCUUAUAUACAGGAUCUCAUGUAUGCACGCAAACUAAACUCGGAAAAUUUUCACAAAUCAACAUCAUUAACCAAUUUAAUCAUGCUUUCUCCUUGCUAGUAGUCUAACUAUCAUAUAAACAUCAUCAAUUCAAGUAUUUAUUUCAUUACUCAAAAGUUCCCAAUUACUAGCAAACUAAACUUAACCAAUUUUAGGCAUUCUGACAAUUAACCAAAUUGAUCCCUAAUUAUCAUUUCUAUCAUGCUUAAUAACAAUUAAACUUAGCCAAUUUAAUCAAUUAACACAUAGAUCACAAAGUCCCAAUUUUUAACAAACUAAACUUUUUGAAAAUUUGUAAACAUGCAUAAAUCAUUAAUCCAACCUUAGAUCUAUCAAAUUGCACACUUAAUAGCAUAAAUAAACAAUCAAUUAGUAAAUUAAAUCAUAGAAUCAAUUUUACCCAAAUUACAUCAAACUAACUCAUAUCAAAAAUUACUAAUCAAUUUCAACCAUCAAUCCAAUCCAUCAAAUCUCAUAUAAACACUCUCAAUAGCUAUAUCAUCCAUCAAUUCAUCAUAACCAAUCAAAUUCAUUUAACAAACAAUAUAAAUCAUAUCUCUUAACUUACACAUGAAAAACCCAAUAAGAUAUAACAAUUUAAGAAAAGGAAAAAAAAUUUUGAAGGGAAACCAAUUUUCGAAAAUUAGAAAAGGGAGUUUUAUCUAUCAAUAUACCAUAUCCAACAUAAAUAAGUCUAGAUCUAAGAGGAUUUAGCACUUACUCAAGGAUUUGAACAAAAAUAAAAAUCUCCUCUUUUGACUCAAAUCUUGAAACUCCGUCAAAUAUGCUCUUGAUUCAAGGCUAUAGAUGUUUAGGACUUGAUUUGAUGGAGUUUCUUGGUAUAGAAAUGAUCUUGGAAGCUUGGGAAUUGGUUAACAAUGGUGGUAGUGAGAGAAAAAGUGAGAGGGGGAGAGAGUGUAGAGAGGGGCGAAAAUGAUGGGAAAGGAGAGAGAAAAGAGUUUUGUUUAAAUUCUUCAACUUGUUGCCCAAGUUUCAUAAUGGAUAGGGCUUAUCCAAACUAAGCUUCUUCAACACACUAGCAAGUGGCUUCCCCACUAGCCCACUUGUCUAUUAGCUUAGGUUAAUGGUAAUUAAAGAAUGUAAAUGGUGAAAUU